rnacentral:rRNA from 1 species
CAUUAGCGUAUACUAAAGUUGCUGCGGUUAAAAAGCUCGUAGUUGGAUUUUGGAAAUGAGAGAAAUAGGUCUGCCGGAAUGGUGUGUACCAUUUUUCCAUUUCUUUCCUUCCCGUUUUGUGGCGCCAGCUCAUUAAUUUGGGUUGGGACAAGCCGCGCGGGAUCGUUUACUUUGAAAAAAGGGGAGCGUUCAAAGCAGGCCUUUCUAUGGCCGUUGAACAUUAAAGCAUGGGAUAAUAGAAAAGGACUUUUGUCUAAUUUUUUUGGUUUUCAAGACAAGAGUAAUGAUUAAAAGGGACAGUUGGGGGUCUUAGUAUUCCGACGUCAGAGGUGAAAUUCAUGGAUUGUCGGAAGACUAACUUCUGCGAAAGCAUUGACCAAGGAUGUUUUCAUUAA